GACUGACAGGGAAAUUGCAAGCGAGGGGUAGAAAGAGAGCCAACCUCCCCUCCCCUCCACCACUGUGAAAAAUGAGCGCUUCUGCUGAAGAGCACACAGACCCUGGAGGAAACAGCCUACAGACCCAGAGCAGGGAGAGGACGACCAUCUAUAGCCGCAAGUGCAGAGUCAGCAAGAGCCAGGCUGACCCACCUGAUGGCUACCUGGCCCAUCACCAUCCGGCCACCCGGAGCCCCUGGGAGAGGCAGGAUGCACGGACUGCAGAUGGAGAAGGCUCCCACUCUCUGCGCUCUGUGGAGGUGUCACAAACACACCCAUGGAACACAGAUGAAAAAUGCAAACCUCAGAGGAGCAAAUGGAUGCACGCAGACUCCGGAAAAGGCACAAAGAGGACCGGGACCCUGGCCUCUCCUACUGCCUCUUCUUUCUUCUGCAACCCCAAGAGGAAGGGAAGCCCCGACCACCCCCAAACCUUCCCCGGUUAAAGUGAAAUGCUCCCCGUUUCCGGCUGCAGCCCUCUUCGGCCCGGGAGGGGUGGUCCCAGCCAGGGUUUCACCUCAUCCCUUGUCACAUGCCGGCAAGGCUGGCCAUGUCCCUCCAGCCCCUCAAGGGGCCACCUACAGCCCAACAGGGUGCGGACUCUAUCCCUGUCUCCCUCAGCAAUGCUGCAGGGCCGCAGCCCCAGCCCCAGGGGAGCCGCACCGGUGCCUAGGAGGUUGUGUGUUGUGCUAUUCCUGUUUGUGACUGACGGACAAGGACUGUGAGGCCAGCAGCGCAGGGGCAGAGUAACUGAUGUGGGAGACAAAAACCGCAAACAAAACCCCAGAAAACCAAAGCCAGUGAGCUCAACCUGAAGGGACAAAUUCCAGAGCAAAACAGAAAAGAGGAUAGGAAGCAAGGGGACGGGAAGGGGGUGGGUAGGGAGAGGGCGGGGAAGAACUGAGGCGCGUUUGGCACCUGUACCAGCUCCCCCAGUGAGCGGGGUCGCCAUGCGCUGCUGAUAUACAUAAAAGUCAAGGAGAGGAAAGGACAAAGGAGCACCAACAGACUGGCAUCUCCCGGAAAGCGGUGACUUUUGUUUGUUUUUUUCCCAGCUGUGCCCCCAGUGCCGAGCACAGUGCCUGGCACAUAGCAGUUGUUCUGAAAAAAUUUGUUGAAUGAACUGCUGCAUCGCAUGUAGUUUACACAAAGCCAGUGACACCCUUGUCUCCAAGGGGUGCUGGAGGAUCCAACUCCUCUGAGAUGUAGACGGGGGCGGGGCAGCAAAUGAAAUGCUUAGUUUAGGGCUGGGCUCAGAAAAUGUGAGCAGGGCACCUCCUAAGGUCGUGAUUACUGUUACGGUCUUCAGAGUGGGCUCUGUUGUAAAAUGUGACUCUGUUUUUAAAGAUGUGGUUCUGUUGUUCUUUGUUUUUAUAGUACAGUACCGAGGAUGGAAUCCAGGAACUUCACACGUCCCCAGCA
rnacentral:lncRNA from 1 species